rnacentral:rRNA from 1 species
AUUGAACGCUGGCGGCAUGCUUUACACAUGCGAGUCGGACGGCAGCACAGAGAAGCUUGCCUCUUGGGUGGCGAGUGGCGAACGGGUGAGUAAUAUAUCGGAACGUACCGAGUAAUGGGGGAUAACUAAUCGAAAGAUUAGCUAAUACCGCAUAUUCUCUGAGGAGGAAAGCAGGUGACCUUCGGGCCUUGCGUUAUUCGAGCGUCCGAUAUCUGAUUAGUUAGUUGGUGGGGUAAAGGCCUACCAAGUCGACGAUCAGUAGCGGGUCUGAGAGGAUGAUCCGCCACACUGGAACUGAGACACGGCCCAGACUCCUACGGGAGGCAGCAGUGGGGAAUUUUGGACAAUGGGCGCAAGCAUGAUCCAGCCAUGCCGCGUGUCUGAAGAAGGCCUUCGGGUUGUAAAGGACUUUUGUCAGGGAAGAAAAGGCUGUUGCUAAUAUCAAUAGCUGAUGACGGUACCUGAAGAAUAAGCACCGGCUAACUACGUG